rnacentral:lncRNA from 1 species
UGGUUAGCGGUGGCGGGGGUUGUCGGCGGCCGGGCAAGCUGCCGGGGAAGGCGGGGGAUCUCGGAUCCGAACGAGGGGAAGGGGAGGGGAGGGGAGAGAGGAGGGCGGUGCUCGCCGGAGUCGUUCGACGCCGGUGAGGGGGGCGCAGGGGCAGCGAACGGAUAAAUGCGGGGUGAGGCUCUCGGUCGAAGGCUACCUGGAGACUGCUUUCCUGUAGCCGCCUCCGUUUUGAAAUGUUAUUGCGACAAU